rnacentral:rRNA from 1 species
UACGUAGGGACCAAGCGUUGUUCGGAUUUACUGGGCGUAAAGGGCGCGUAGGCGGCGUGUUAAGUCAGCUGUGAAAUCUCCAAGCUUAACUUGGAACGGUCAGCUGAUACUGAUGUGCUAGAGUGCAGAAAGGGCAAUCGGAAUUCUUGGUGUAGCGGUGAAAUGCGUAGAUAUCUGGAGGAACACCGGUGGCGAAGGCGGCAUCCUGGACCAACACUGACACUGAGGAGCGAAAGCCAGGGGAGCAAACGGG